rnacentral:rRNA from 1 species
GAUCAUGGCUCAGGACGAACGCUGGCGGCGCGCCUAACACAUGCAAGUCGAACGAGCGAGAGGAGGUUUACUUUCUCGAGCGAGUGGCGAACGGGUGAGUAACGCGUGAGGAACCUGCCUCAAAGAGGGGGACAACAGUUGGAAACGACUGCUAAUACCGCAUAAGCCCACGGUGCUGCAUGGCACAGAGGGAAAAGGAGCAAUCCGCUUUGAGAUGGCCUCGCGUCCGAUUAG